AUUGAACGCUGGCGGCAAGCCUAACACAUGCAAGUCGAACGAGUGGCGGACGGGUGAGUAAUGUAUGGGAAACUGCCCGAUGGAGGGGGAUAACUACUGGAAACGGUAGCUAAUACCGCAUACCAUCGGAUGUGCCCAGAUGGGAUUAGCUAGUAGGUGGGGUAAAGGCUCACCUAGGCGACGAUCCCUAGCUGGUCUGAGAGGAUGACCAGGCAAACGGGGACUGAGACACGGCCCAGACUCCGACGGGAGGCAGCAGUGGGGAAUAUUGCACAAUGGGCGCAAGCCUGAUGCAGCCAUGCCGCGUGUAUGAAGAAGGCCUUAGGGUUGUAAAGUACUUUCAGCGGGGAGGCGUUACCCGCAGAAGAAGCACCGGCUAACUCCGUGCCAGCAGCCGCGGUAAUUC
rnacentral:rRNA from 1 species